ACGGAGGUGGCAAGCGUUGUUCGGAAUUAUUGGGCGUAAAGGGUACGUAGGCGGACUGUAAAGUUGGAUGUGAAAUCCCACAGCUUAACUGUGGAACUGCAUUCAAAACUUUCGGGCUUGAGUGUGAUAGAGGUAAAUGGAAUUCCCGGUGUAGGGGUGAAAUGCGCAGAGAUCGGGAGGAACACCAGUGGCGAAGGCGGUUUACUGGAUUACUACUGACGCUGAGGUACGAAAGCCUGGGGAGCAAACGG
rnacentral:rRNA from 1 species